AUUCACAAGCUCUGAUAACUGAUAAUUGACUUUAAAACGUCCAAGAAGCCGACAGAACUCGUGAUAAUUAUCAUGACAAGCCAGACCUUUCCCAGUUUGCAUAAUGUCUUUGGUUCCUGUCAUCAGGUGUGCCAAGUAUUUCACUCUAGAAGUGUCAUUUGAAAACAGAGAUCUCCUCGCUGAAGCCAGACGGACUAAACACUCUAAAGCCUCCUUCGAUAUGUUUGGCUUAUUGAU
rnacentral:misc_RNA from 1 species